UGUAAUCUAAUUUUAUUAUGUUGUUGAAUUUAUAUUUAUUUGUGUUAUUUUAGUUAUAAAUUGUGUUACGUAAUUUUUUUUAUGUACACUCUCUUUUUUUUAUAUUAUUUAAAUUAAUGAUGAUUAAAAACUGAUUAAAGUGUAAUUAUUAAUUCGAGCUCGAGCCUGAACUUGAGCUCAAACCAAACUUUUUAAUUUUGAGCUCGGUCUCGAGCUUUUUUAACGAGUUUCUUAAUCGAGCUUUCCGAGUUCGAGCUCGAAUUUUAUUAACGAGCUUCUUAAUCGAGCUUUUCGAGCUCGAGCUCGAAUUAGGCUC
rnacentral:lncRNA from 1 species